rnacentral:rRNA from 1 species
CAACAACAACGGAGCGGAGAGGAGACGGGAGGGGUGGGGGGGGGUGGGGUGGGGUGAACAUACCGAUGAUGAUCAUCUGUGUGUUGUGUUUUGUCUCUCGCGGUACGAAGAGGAAGGAGGAGACGUUUGCUCGCCGUGAAGCUCAGCUCCGAACGGCCAAGGAUAAAACAGACACCUCUCCUUGCUCAAAAUGGAGAACGAUGAAAAAAAUAAAUAGACAAGAAUAAUUACCACAACAAGAACAUACAUAGAAGUCCGUUGCGUAGGCUAACAGAGGCAAGAUGUUCUAUGGGCUCCGGAGAGUACUUUUAUUUGAUUAUAUUCUCGCAAUCACUAGAUUUGCGAGAAUAUAAUUAAAUGCCUCCCUCAUACAUAGAACUCCGUUCCGUAGGCCGAGAAACGCAAGAUUCGCGCCCUAAUUGAACUAAUGGGACCCUACCUUCGGACGAUGGGCUCCCUAGAGAAAGGGACGGACCUCGGCCGACACCGGGUAGAUGUUCUAUCAUGGUGGAGCGAAGGGACCUAGUUAGCCGCGGAGUGGAGCUGAUAUAUAUGCGGCGUAGUGAGCAAGGGGAAGGUGUGGUCAGCUGGCUUAGGCACCCCGAGUGGUCUUCUGCGCCCGAGUCGUCUGGCGGUAGGGGUCGGCUGGGAGAGGGCUCAGCUGCGGGUUCCACGCUACCGGAGGUUCGGACUCUAGGGGACCUGUCAACACCGACUCACCUUCAUACGGUCCCAAGCGUUCGUCGACCGGUUACCGAGACGGUCGCUGCUCAGACUACUAGAUCUCUUUCUCGUACCUGACUGUCCUUAAUUCCCUUCACAAAGCAUAGCGGUCGGCAUACAAGAUAUACAACUACCAUUCGGUACAGUUAUCGUUGACAGGGAAGUCUAAACUAAGUUGAACCGUGACUUAGUAACUAUCAUAAAAGAUGAGAAAUUUGAAUCAACUUUAGUAUAUGACAAGUAGUUUACCGCAUAUAAGAUUAAAAUUAAUAAUAAAUUGUCUUUAUCCAAAUUACCUUUACGAAACCUUAAUAACCGUGGUAAUAUCUAGUCUCGUGAACAAAUGAACGUUACGGUAUACGGUUGGACGACUGUAUACUCGUACGUAAAAAAACAGGACACUAAAGAACUUAUGGUAUAUGUCUAAGACAGAACAACCACAUACAAUGAGUGUACGGUUUGAAACUUAAGAAAUUCACAAACUAAACGAACAUCAAAGUUGACAAUGAAAACACAAGAACGUCCGCCUUAUAGAUCACAAAUCUCAGACUAGAACACAUUAUAGAUCCAAGAAUAGUCACAUUUAAGAGAUCACAAAUCUCAGACUAGAAAACAUUAUAGAUCCAAGAAUAGUCACAUUUAAGAAAACAAAGAACGUCAAAUUGAAGAUAUUUAUAAGAUCCACAUUAUAGAUCAAUGUUCUUGACAUGAAAAUUCCAAGAAAAGUCACAUGAUAAGAUCAACAUUUUUACAUUAUAGAACCAAGAAUGUUUUAUUAUAAAAAGGAAGAGAAAACUUAUUUUCGGGUCUAAGUACGACAAAGUCAGAACCAAACAAUAAGACAAGACCUAUUAGAGACAACAUAUGUGACAUUAUAUGUUCAACCACGAGACAAUAUUAAAUAAACACUAGACGUGACAUUAAAGGAUACAAGAAAAUAACCAAUCAUGAGACAUUAUAUGUUCAACCACGAGACAACAUUAAAAAACACUAGACGUGGAAUUAACAUUAAAAGAUCCAAGUAAAUAAAGUCUUAUAUGUUCAACCACGAGACAACAUUAAAAAACACUAGACGUGACAUUAACAUUAAAAGAUCCAAGUAAAUAAAGUCUUAUAUGUUCAACGACGAGACAACAUAAAAAAACACUAGACGUGACAUUAACAUUAAAAGAUCCAAGUAAAUAAAGUCUUAUAUGUGCAACGACGAGAUAACAUUAAAUAAACCAUAGACGUGGCAUUAGACGACCCUGUCACCUGGUAUCUAAUAAAAUAAGAAUAAAAGUUUGAAAGAUCCGCAUUAAAGAAUUGACACAGUCAUUUUACCAUGACACCUAUAAGAUAAAAGGUCUUACUGUGACGUUAGCUGACUUACUAACCGAACAUGAACAAGACAUUCAUUUAUAACACGACUACGAGAGUAGAUAAACCCAUUGUCAAAAUAAAAUAAUGGACUACUACAACAUUGGACUCGCUAAGACAAAGCAUCUGCUCCACUGUUGCUAACUUCAGGGGACCGAGAGCUUUCCAUGAGCAGCAGUCGCCUUCUUCGACCGCCGUCGAUCCUUCACGGAACAGCUCUGGUUUGUACCGCAGCCAAUAAUACAGAAACCGAGAAUGCAGACUGACCCCCUUCAUGACUUAUGUUGUUCCAAACACAGAAAAGUGUUGCAUAACAAAUAUGCAAUAGUCGUGACGUUGGAUUAACAGGAGUAAAGAAAUAUAGUUAAGAGUUUACGUGACGGUAACAGGAGGAAUAAAGUAAGAAAGUCAAGAGUUUACGUUUGUCUACAGACUUUCGUCGUUUACCCUGCCUACCUUUCACAGUCGGCUUGACUCCCGUAGGCCAAAAAAAUCAGAGAUCAAAAAUCGUAGAAUACGGCUCUGAAAAUGCAAACGACUAUGUAAACGGACACUACGACCAGCGUCUAAUAGCAAGGUGGAAUACAACGCAGGAUGCCUAAUACAUAUCAAGGUGGAAUACAACGCACGAUGCCUAAUACAUAUCAAGGUGGAAUACAACACACGAUGCCUAAUACAUAUCAAGGUGGAAACUAUAACACACGAGGCCUAAUGUAUUUACGGUCAUUGAACUCGCCCGGUAUAAACCGUCACACGGAAUACCUAAGGUCAAGACUAAUAAACGGACAGUAAAAUAACGAGAAAUUUACAACGGAUAGGCGACUACAUUUGUCAAGUCAUGACUGCGUUCAGUAGAGACAUUGUCAC